GGGCGUAUGGUGUAGUGGUAUCACUCAUGCUUUGCACCACCUUGGCCGUUGUCCUGGUCACGUGAAUUGUAUGCAGUCAUGGGUUCAAACCCCAUUGCGUCCA